rnacentral:rRNA from 1 species
AGCUCCAAUAGCGUAUAUUAAAGUUGUUGCAGUUAAAAAGCUCGUAGUUGGAUCUCGGGUCCAGGCUUGUGGUCCGGCGCUGGCCGGUUACUACUCGUCCUGACCUACCUCCCGGUUUGCCCUUGGUGCUCUUGACUGAGUGUCUCGGGUGGCCGGAACGUUUACUUUGAAAAAAUUAGAGUGUUCAAAGCAGGCAAUUCGCCUGAAUAAUGGUGCAUGGAAUAAUGGAAUAGGACCUCGGUUCUAUUUUGCUGGUUUUCGGAGCUUGAGGUAAUGAUUGAGAGGGACUGACGGGGGCAUUCGUAUUACGGUGUUAGAGGUGAAAUUCUUGGAUCGCCGUAAGACGAACUACUGCGAAAGCAUUUGCCAAGAAUGUUU